CGGGGCGUAGCGCAGUCUGGCCUAGCGCGUCUGCUUUGGGAGCAGAAAGUCGUCGGUUCGAAUCCGACCGCCCCGA
rnacentral:tRNA from 1 species